rnacentral:rRNA from 1 species
CUGUAUACAUUAGCAUGGGAUAACAUUAUAGGAUUUUGGUCAUAUUACGUUGGCCUUCAGGAUCGGAGUAAUGAUUAAUAGGGACAGUCGGGGGCAUUCGUAUUUCAUAGUCAGAGGUGAAAUUCUUGGAUUUAUGAAAGAUGAUCAACUGCGAAAGCAUUUUCCAAGAAUAUUUUCAUU